GCAGGAAGUAGUAAGAGAAGCUACGCCCAAAUUCCCAAAUAUACCAAGCUGACUUUGGAGAUGUGUAAAGGUUAAAACCUUCCUUUUUAAGAAAAGAAAAGGGGAAGUGCUGUGGGAUGGUCUGUAUGUCAAAUGUGUUGCUGAUUAGUCAAUAAAUAAAUCACUGAUUGGCCAGUGGCCAGGCAGGAAGUAUAGGCGGGACUAACAGAGAGGAGAAUUGAGAGAACAGGAAGCUGGGUGGGAGAGACACUGCCAGCCGCCAUCAGGACAAGGAAAAUGUAAAGUACCGGCUAUCAGGUUAAACUUUUCCUAAUGAUUGAAGAUGAACCCAAGAGGAAGUUUGUUAGAACGGAAGAGGAGAAAUGGAGAACUACUGACCUGAUUACACCAAAGAGCAUCUCAAAGAGAGUGACAAUAAGGGGAAGCUGGUGACCCUGCAAGAGAUGAAAUGAGCAAAAUGCUUCUGCAAACUGAGCAACAGGACUUAUCCCACUCACAUUAUGAUGGAAAAGGAGACAGUUUUGGUAGAACAUUGUAGCAUAUCUUA